UCCAAUUGGUAUCAGAGCCUAGGUGAUCCUCCUCGCCGAGCUCUUCAUCGUCGUCGCCAUCGUCUUCGUCGUCAUCGCGCCAUCGCGCCAUCGCGCCAUCGUCUUCGCCUUCAUCACUUCGUCUUCGUCUUCGCCCUCAUCACUUCGUCUUCGCCCUCAUCACUUCGUCUUCGCCCUGGUCACUUCGUCUUCGCCCUGGUCACUUCGUCUUCGCCCUGGUCACUUCGUCUUCGCCCUGGUCACUUCGUCUUCGCCCUGGUCACUUCGUCUUCGCCCUGGUCACUUCGUCUUCGCCCUGGUCACUUCGUCUUCGCCCUGAUCACUUCGUCCUCGCCCUCGUCACUUCGUCUUCGUUCUCUUCACCUCUUCAACAACCAUGUCUCUCUCGAACGAGUUCCCGUUUCCGCCUUCCUUUCCUGCCGCCACCGACCCCGCGCCCGCGCCCGCGGCGCCCCCCACCACGUCCGAAGCCGCUCUCCCCUGGGAUAGAAUCUCAGAAGUCGCCGCACAUGCUGCCGUACGAGCCUUAGAGAAUCGUUCGUCAAACAACCAGCGCGGACCAGCCCCCCGAUUCAACCCCACGGCCAAGGACGCCGACCUCGCUUCGUGGGCCAACCGCCUACGUCUCCACUUUACGGUAUGCG
rnacentral:lncRNA from 1 species